rnacentral:hammerhead_ribozyme from 1 species
AUUAGCUAACGAGUCCAAAAUAGGACUAAACGCGCGUCCUGGAU